UACGGAAGGCAGCAGUGGGGAAUAUUGCACAAUGGGCGCAAGCCUGAUGCAGCCAUGCCGCGUGUAUGAAGAAGGCCUUCGGGUUGUAAAGUACUUUCAGUCGUGAGGAAGGUGUUAAGGUUAAUAACCUUAGCAAUUGACGUUAGCGACAGAAGAAGCACCGGCUAACUCCGUGCCAGCAGCCGCGGUAAUACGGAGGGUGCGAGCGUUAAUCGGAAUUAUUGGGCGUAAAGGGCACGCAGGCGGUUAAUUAAGUUGGAUGUGAAAUCCCCGGGCUUAACCUGGGAAUGGCAUUCAAGACUGGUUAGCUAGAGUCUUGUAGAGGGGGUAGAAUUCCAUGUGUAGCGGUGAAAUGCGUAGAGAUGUGGAGGAAUACCGGUGGCGAAGGCGGCCCCUGGCAAAGACUGACGCUCAUGUGCGAAAGCGUGGGGAGCAAAC
rnacentral:rRNA from 1 species